UACGUAGGGUCCGAGCGUUGUCCGGAAUUAUUGGGCGUAAAGGGCUCGUAGGCGGUCUGUUGCGUCGGGAGUGAAAACUUACAGCUUAACUGUGAGCGUGCUUCCGAUACGGGCAGACUUGAGGUAUUCAGGGGAGAACGGAAUUCCUGGUGUAGCGGUGAAAUGCGCAGAUAUCAGGAGGAACACCAGCGGCGAAGGCGGCGCUCUGGGCCGGAACUGACGCUGAGGAGCGAAAGCGUGGGUAGCAAACAGG
rnacentral:rRNA from 1 species